AUUUUGGCAGUGACACUCCCAACAGCUCCCACACUUCCAGGAAGUGCUGGGGCAGCAGCCUGGAAAUGCUACAUCAGGGUCAUUCCCUGUGCAAGGGAAUGUCACAGCCAGCACAGUAACUUGGGGAGGUUUAUGCUGCUUCCACCAGCCAGUUACAGCAUUUCUGGGUUUGGGAAUGCCAGAUGUUCUGCACUGAUAAGACACAGCUGCAACAUCAAAGCUGGCAAGGGUAAAGCUGGAGGACUGUGAUAGCCAAGGCUUCUGACUCCCUGGGGCAGGAGCUGAAAGCCAUUUAGGAUUGGGGUACAAACACCUCUGCUGGACAUUUGUGUCAAAGCUAACAAAGCAGGUGUUUUAAGCAUCACCUGUAUACUUCACACUUCCCAUGACUUUGGCAUCAGCAAAAUAUCAGUAGCAAGGUUUUCUUUGCCUUGAUGCAUUUGUCUGGAUCCAGAAGAAAAGCCCGGUUAGAACUACCUAAAGCAGGCUCAGAUGGGCAUCUUUCCUUCUAUUCUGUUGAGUUGAAAAAACCCACAGUAAAAGCAAUUUAUCUUUCUCCAUGCUGAGUGAAGCUUCAGAGGAAUUAGAUCCCUUCAACACAUGUAAUGUUCCCAAGACCAAACAUCUGAUCUGAUGAAGCCAGUGAGUGCCAAACAAAUCGCUCUGACAGACAUGCCAGAGAAGCUGGUGGUGACGCUGCAGAAACACAUCCAGGAGCUGGCAGUGAAAGUGUUAACCAUGACGAAGGAAAGCAGGAACGUGGGGAGUUUGACUAAGGAUUUCUGGCUGCUGUUAAAACAACAGUUGUUCAGUUGCUGCAGCAACGUAUGAAGUCACUAAAAAUAAGUUCCAGGAGGUAACUGUAUAUGGCAAAGGGCAGCAGCCCACAGAAAAGCUGCAUCUGAAGGAUUACUACUGAAAGUGAAAGGCAAAGCUUCCUGAAACCUCUGUAAAACUGGACAGAGAAUCAGUAUUUUACUGGGCACUUAAUAAUAUGUAUGAACUCAUGCUUAUCAGAAAACCAAGAAAAAGUUAAACUGAGCUUGGCUUACUAAACUGGCACGAGAAAGGGCAGUGUACUGUAAUGAGCCAGCAAACUCAGGUUGUGCUGCUCUGCUUGACCAUAGCUUCAGUUUAUGCAAGUCAUUUUGCUUCUCUAUUCCUCUGCAUCCUUUCCUGAUAAUAGCCUCUUGGUGGUAAAAAGACCUGGGAGAGGAACAGGAUUUGAAUAAGCAGAUGAAUAAACCAAGGGAGAAAGUUCAACGACAGCAGUGAAAGUCAACAACAGAGCUGGGAUUAAAUUCAGAAGAAUCAUGUUUUUUAGCAAAGUUAACAGAAUUAACACACAGAUAAGGAUCACAACUGGCUACCACUUCCACAGUAAUGCUCCAGACACUCUUGGCUGUCCAAGGAUCACAGGGAUCCCACUCCACCAACAGACACCAAGCAACAUACUGUUGCUUAUCAACUGACUGCAGAUUACUUGUCCCCCACUGUCUGUGAUUUUUAUCUCAUCCAGAAACCAGCCUUGGUCUGUGCCUCCUUGCAGACAUUCUCAAGGCAUCUUGAACAGGCUGUUGGUGCUCUUUCAUGAAGACAUUCUCUGCUUACUACUCUUUAUCAAGCUAAUCAGAAGUUAUUUCAAGUUUCUCAUGUUUUCAGUUAUGCAACUGAAAUUAAAUUUCAUAUGCAUCAGUGGAUUGAUAUUCCACACACCUCACCCAUAACUCAGUGCUGUCUUUAUCCAGAUUUACUGGUUCACACUCAGGACACAGCAUUAAUGCUUUAGGACACAGAAGCAUGUAUUAUAUUUAACUGGAAAUACCCCAUCUAUUUACACAGGCUGAAUAUUAAUAAUGCACCCAAUGUAGACAAGGUAAUGACAGAGGCAGUCUCCUUAAAAAAAAUACAGAACUAGCCUGACAUUAAAUUUUUGGAAAUUAUCCCUUUGCUUGAUAAUAAUUGCACAUCCCUCUCUAUUUGAAGGUCAGUAUCUCAAUGACAUUUGUUUAAAAUAUUGUGCUAUUUGUAGAAAAAAACACAUCAUUUUUACAAGAAAAAAGGAUCUUCCUCCAGUUCAUCAGUUUUGGAUUAUUUAGGAUUUUUUUCAUUCCAAAUCAGUUUUGUGCCAUGUACAUCAUGACUCUCCAGACAAGAGAAUUACUCUGGCUUAGUAAAUAACUAAGCCACUACUUAGUGGCUAGAGAGAGGUACAGUCCUGAAGAUUCAUUAGCAGAAAUGUUGUUUACUCUUAUCCCCCACUUGAUCUAAACAUGUUUCCAUAACAAAUCAAGGAUGGAGAAAGCCAGGACUCAACCAAACAGACUUUUCUGUUAUCUUCCCACUAUCCUACAGCUGCAACAAGGAGGGGAACUUGCUGCUUACAUCAGUGCUGCAGGUGGUCACUAAUCAACAUAUUUAAACAAUUAAAAUGUGCCAUGUAAGUUGAUGGCAGCUACACAACCUCAAGUUUCACUGAUUGCAAUUCAGGGAUAUUGUCUCCUCAGCUUGUAACCAAAUAUUGCCUCAAAAAUCCCCAUCAAUCUGAUAUCCACUCAACCAGGACUAAGAAGGUUUCUUACAUACCACUAUAUUUGUACCAAGUUAAUAGGAUUCCUAUGAAUUACAUUGGCUUUAGAGCCUUGAGACUCCCAAAGUCACUGUUUACAUUUUAAAUGCUGGAAAGAGGAUGAAUGGGGCUCCCAUAUCUAUAAAAAGAGAUUUAAAUUAUCCUUUGUCUAGCCAAUAGAGUGUGACCACAAA